AGAAUGGAAGACCAUGGAGGCAUUGUGCUGAAUGUGGAAAGUGUGUGAAGCCCUCAUGGCGUCACUGUUCCUCCUGCAGUCGCUGUGUGCUUCCAGAUCACUGCUGCGGACAAACCGGCUGCUACAGCUGUGGUGAUCCUGGACACAAGCACAAAGCCUGCCCUCUCAAACACAGGAAGAAUGUCCAGAGUGCUAAAGGAGCGUCCAAACACCACAGCAAGGCAUCGAAGCGCACAGCUAUGAAAAGGAAAAUCAGAAAUAC